rnacentral:rRNA from 1 species
UCCAGACUCCUACGGGAGGCAGCAGUGGGGGAUAUUGCACAAUGGGGGGAACCCUGAUGCAGCGACGCCGCGUGGGUGAAGGAGCGUUUCGGCGCGUAAAGCCCUAUCGGCAGGGAAGAAGGAGGACGGUACCUGACUAAGAAGCCCCGGCUAACUACGUGCCAGCAGCCGCGGUAAUACGUAGGGGGCAAGCGUUAUCCGGAUUUACUGGGUGUAAAGGGGGCGCAGACGGCAGCGCAAGCCAGGAGUGAAAGCCCGGGGCCCAACCCCGGGACUGCUCUUGGAACUGCGCGGCUGGAGUGCAGGAGGGGCAGGCGGAAUUCCUGGUGUAGCGGUGAAAUGCGUAGAUAUCAGGAGGAACACCGGUGGCGAAGGCGGCCUGCUGGACUGCGACUGACGUUGAGGCCCGAAAGCGUGGGGAGCAAACAGGAUUAGAUACCCCCGUAAU